AUUAAACAGAUAAAAUAAAAAUUAGAAAAAACAGUAACAUUUUGAAGAAACUAAGAUUUGGCUUUAAAAGAUAAAAUUAUGUUUAAGUGCAAUAAAAAAUUGUUGUGGUGUAAGUUGACUGUUGUCAUCUGUUUUAAAGUCAGCUACAGGCUGUCAUCUGAGCCAACAGCUAUUUGUAGUAAAGCAGUGAUUCAGAUGUAAAGCAUAGACAAUGAGGAGACAUUAAAGAACAUCAUACACUGUAAAAAAUCCAACUUGCAAAUUGCUAACUCAAAUCAAAAUUGUAAGUUGGGUGGACAUAUUUUGAGCUCAGUGUUGAGUUUACUUUUAAAAAUGAGUUAACUGAAGGUGUAAAACUGGUUUGUUCAAUGAAAGUAAAUACUUAAGUUGAGCAGACUUUACAUUUUGAGUUCUUCACUGGAUCAUCUACUUCCCGUCUUUGCACAUGCUCAGUCUGUCUUCGGGUGCCAUUUUGCACGAGGUGUCCUCUCACCAGCAGCAGCUGCCAUCUCCUGAUUCAGGUUUGGAAUGCAGUGUAAGUUUUGCAAAUUUGUAAACAGUAGCUGAGAAGUUACACUACAGGCUACAUCGCUAUCAAGGACCAUCCUGGCAGCAGCCUUGUUUGUUCGCAGACUGCUUCUGCACUUUAAAGACUCUGAUGUCCGAAAACAGUGGCCUACAUGUUUUUGG